rnacentral:tRNA from 2 species
CGGAGUGUAGCGCAGUCUGGUAGCGCGCUUGGUUCGGGAUCAAGAAGUCGGAGGUUCAAAUCCUCUCACUCCGA